GUAUAUGACAGUUGUUCAAAGCUUUUUGCUAUGACUGAUCACAAAUUGCUUUACUGGCAAAGAUUUAUCAUUAAAUUAAAUGGUAUUUGUCUUUGUAGGAUUUUGGGGAAACAUUCUUGCUGGAAAUCAUAUGCCACCAGAGAUGGUAAUUUUGUCAUCUGGUGAUGACGCAGCAGUUGUGGAGGAGCCGUUCACCAUAGUAACGGAAAGUCAGUUUUUGAAAGAGAAGAUAAAACAAGAUGAACCGAUGAACCAGAACAACUGAAUAAAGAAUUUCACACUGCCUGUGUCAAUAUUAAAAUUCAAGAUAUUUGAUUAUUUGAUUAUUAGAUUAAUUACUCAACUAUACAAAUUACUUAAAUAUAUAAAUAUGAUCUGAUGCCACAGAUAGUAAAAAAGCAGCCAAUGUUUUACACUCUUUUACAGGUGAAAAUAAAAAUUCAGAGUCACAAUUGUC